rnacentral:rRNA from 1 species
AUUGAACGCUGGCGGCAUGCUUUACACAUGCAAGUCGAACAGUAACAGGCCGCAAGGUGCUGACGAGUGGCGAACGGGUGAGUAAUGCAUCGGAACGUGCCCAGGCGUGGGGGAUAACUACUCGAAAGAGUAGCUAAUACCGCAUACGAUCUAUGGAUGAAAGCGGGGGACCGUAAGGCCUCGCGCGAUUGGAGCGGCCGAUGUCAGAUUAGGUAGUUGGUGGGGUAAAGGCUCACCAAGCCAACGAUCUGUAGCUGGUCUGAGAGGACGACCAGCCACACUGGGACUGAGACACGGCCCAGACUCCUACGGGAGGCAGCAGUGGGGAAUUUUGGACAAUGGGCGCAAGCCUGAUCCAGCAAUGCCGCGUGCAGGAAGAAGGCCUUCGGGUUGUAAACUGCUUUUGUACGGAACGAAACGGCUCUGGUUAAUACCCGGGGCUAAUGACGGUACCGUAAGAAUAAGCACCGGCUAACUACGUG